GGCGUGGGGCAAGGUUUACCUUCACCUCGAAGAAGGCGGAUCCGAAGGUGGGCCACCGGCAGAUCCACUUCAGGAAGGCCACCUUGGCCUCCUCCACUGUCUUGUCCUUGUGCUUGUCAUAGGCUAGAAGGAUGCUCUGGGGGACAGGAGGGCCAGUAAGACUUGGGUGCCCAGAGGCCCUCCAAAGCCCUGGUCGGGGCAGCACCUGCCUACCCCAGGGCUAGUACGGUGGGGAGGGGAGGGGAGGAAUGCAGCAUGGGACAGUCUCGGUGCUGUGGAUGGCGUAGGAAGGCGUGGUGUGUGCAGAGCCAGCCCACCCUCCACACCACCCAUGUGCACCCAUGUGAUCUUGGAGCCCAGGCAGGGCAUGGCACUGGUGCAGGGGCCCAGGGAGGAGCAGCAGCACAAGAACCCUUCCCCAGCCCGACCAGGGACCUUUUUCCACUCCUCCGAGGACAUCAGGCGUGUGAGGUUCUCAGGCACCAGUUCCCUCAGGAUCUUGGGGACACUAGCCAGCUGGGACCGGUCGUUGUUGAACUGGGCCUUGUAGAUGAGGCCCGCCAGGUGGAUGGCAUCCUCCCGCGAACACUUGUGGAAUCCGCGCAGGGCCUGGUUGUUCCCACAACCC
rnacentral:lncRNA from 1 species